rnacentral:rRNA from 1 species
UACAGAGGUGGCAAGCGUUGUUCGGAAUUACUGGGCGUAAAGGGCGCGUAGGCGGUCCGAUAAGUCCUGUGUGAAAUCCCUCGGCUCAACUGAGGAACUGCACGGGAGACUGCCGGGCUUGAGUUCGGGAGAGGGAAGCGGAAUUCCGGGUGUAGCGGUGAAAUGCGUAGAUAUCCGGAGGAACACCGGUGGCGAAGGCGGCUUCCUGGACCGACACUGACGCUGAGGCGCGAAAGCCAGGGGAGCAAACGGG